rnacentral:rRNA from 1 species
GCUGGUUUUCUAUUACCCUCGCUGAACUUAAGCAUAUCAAUAAGCGGAGGAAAGAAACCAACAGGGAUUGCCUUAGUAACGGCGAGUGAAGCGGCAACAGCUCAAAUUUGAAAUCUGGCUCCUUUCAGAGUCCGAGUUGUAAUUUGCAGAGGGCGCUUUGGCUUUGGCAGCGGUCCAAGUUCCUUGGAACAGGACGUCACAGAGGGUGAGAAUCCCGUACGUGGUCGCUAGCUAUUGCCGUGUAAAGCCCCUUCGACGAGUCGAGUUGUUUGGGAAUGCAGCUCUAAAUGGGAGGUAAAUUUCUUCUAAAGCUAAAUAUUGGCCAGAGACCGAUAGCGCACAAAGUAGAGUGAUCGAAAAGAUGAAAAGCACUUUGGAAAGAGAGUCAAACAGCACGUGAAAUUGUUGAAAGGGAAGCGCUUGCAGCCAGACUUGCUUGCAGUUGCUCAUCCGGGCUUUUGCCCGGUGCACUCUUCUGCAGGCAGGCCAGCAUCAGUUUGGGCGGUGGGAUAAAGGUCUCUGACACGUUCCUUCCUUCGGGUUGGCCAUAUAGGGGAGACGUCAUACCACCAGCCUGGACUGAGGUCCGCGCAUCUGCUAGGAUGCUGGCGUAAUGGCUGUAAGCGGCCCGUCUUGAAACACGGACCAAGGAGUCUAACAUCUAUGCGAGUGUUUGGGUGUCAAGCCCGAGCGCGUAAUGAAAGUGAACGGAGGUGGGAACCCGCAAGGGCGCACCAUCGACCGAUCCUGAAGUUUACGGAAGGAUUUGAGUAAGAGCAUGGCUGUUGGGACCCGAAAGAUGGUGAACUAUGCUUGAAUAGGGUGAAGCCAGAGGAAACUCUGGUGGAGGCUCGCAGCGGUUCUGACGUGCAAAUCGAUCGUCAAAUUUGGGCAUAGGGGCGAAC